rnacentral:rRNA from 1 species
UACGAAGGGGGCUAGCGUUGCUCGGAUUGACUGGGCGUAAAGGGCGCGUAGGCGGAUAGUCCAGUCAGGCGUGAAAUUCCUGGGCUCAACCUGGGGGCUGCGUUUGAUACGUAUUGUCUGGAGUUCGGAAGAGGGUCGUGGAAUUCCCAGUGUAGAGGUGAAAUUCGUAGAUAUUGGGAAGAACACCGGUGGCGAAGGCGGCGACCUGGUCCGAUACUGACGCUGAGGCGCGAAAGCGUGGGGAGCAAACAGG